rnacentral:rRNA from 1 species
UACAGAGGUCCCAAGCGUUGUUCGGAUUCACUGGGCGUAAAGGGUGCGUAGGCGGUCGGGUAAGUCGGAUGUGAAAUCUCACAGCUUAACUGUGAAACUGCAUUGGAUACUAUUCGGCUUGAGAGUUGGAGGGGGGACUGGAAUUCUUGGUGUAGCAGUGAAAUGCGUAGAUAUCAAGAGGAACACCAGUGGCGAAGGCGAGUCCCUGGACAACUUCUGACGCUGAGGCACGAAAGCUAGGGGAGCAAACAGG